rnacentral:rRNA from 1 species
UUUAUAAUUUAUUGCUUUAAUUAUUAAAUAUAUUAUUUAAGUAUAUCAUGAACUAAGGGUUUUUUAAAACUGAUUAGGGUUUAAUUUAAAAUUAUAGUAUAAUUUAUUAGUACCUUUUGUAUCAUGGUAAAUUUAAUAAUAAAUGUAUAUUUACUUCCCGAAAAACAAAUAUUUAUUUAAUAAUUUCUUUUUUUGUUGUAAAAAAAUUGUUAAUUUUUAAAUGGUAGUAAAAUGUUAAUCGUUUUGUUUUAUAUCUGGUUAACUAGGAAAUCAAUUUAAUUGUGAACUUAAUUUUAGUUUUAUAUUAUUUUGGAUAAUCUGAAUUUUUUCUUAAAAUUUUAAUUUUAAAUAUAUUUAUUAAAUUUUAAAUCUUUUACUAAGUUCUUAAUUGAUUAAUAUUUUUUAUUAUGAUUUUUUUUAUUUUUAUGUUUUUACUUGUUUAAAUUAUUUAAUUACUUUUUAAUUUUUAUAAUGAUUUAAUUAGUAAAAUUUUGAAUUAAUUUUUAAUGAACUCGACAUUUAUUAUUUCCAACUGUUUAUCAAAAACAUUUCCUUUAGUUUAUUUUUAAAGGUAAUUUCUGCCCUAUGAAUUUUAAAUGGCUGCAGUACCCUGACUGUGCAAAGGUAGCAUAAUAAUUAGUCAUUUAAUUGUUGACUUGUAUGAAUGAAUACAUGAGAUGUAAAUUUUAUUAAUUUUAAUGUUUAAAUUUUAUUUUUAGGUAAAAAAGCUUAAUUGAAUUUUAGGGACGAUAAGACCCUAUAGAACUUUAUAAGUUUAUUAAAUUAACUGAAUUUAGAAGUUUAUUUUAUUUAUUUUAUUAAAAUUUGUUUGGUUGGGGUGACAAGUAAAAUUUUACUUUACUUUAUUUAAUCAUUAAAUUUAUGUUUUUAUUGAUCCACUGUUUAGAUAAAAAGAAAAAGUUACCUUAGGGAUAACAGCGUAAUUUUAGUGGGGAGUUCUUAUUUAUACUAAAGUUUGCGACCUCGAUGUUGAAUUAAGAUUAGUUUAGGGGGUAGGUUUUCUAAAACUAAGUCUGUUCGACUUUUAAAAUCUUACAUGAUUUGAGUUCAAACCGGUGUGAGCCAGGUUGGUUUCUAUCUUAAUAUCAUUAAAUUUGUUUAGUACGAAAGGACCAAUAAAUUCAAUAUUCUUUGU